rnacentral:rRNA from 1 species
AAACCAGCACCUCAAGUGGUCAGGAUGAUUAUUGGGCCUAAAGCAUCCGUAGCCGGCUCUGUAAGUUUUCGGUUAAAUCUGUACGCUUAACGUACAGGCCGCCGGGAAUACUGCAGAGCUAGGGAGUGGGAGAGGUAGACGGUACUCGGGAGGAAGUGGUAAAAUGCUUUGAUCUCUCGAUGACCACCUGUGGCGAAGGCGGUCUACCAGAACACGUCCGACGGUGAGGGAUGAAAGCUGGGGGAGCAAACCGGAUUAGAAACCCGAGUAGUCC